GAUCUGGUUGCCAGUGCCCAGGACCCGGUGCGCUCUGCUGUGCGCAGGCGGUUUCCUGGUGCGCCAGGGACCCCACGACCGACCGACCCCGACCGUGGCGAGAGGAAGAGGCCUGGCUCCGGGGGACACAUACCUGCGCGGUGAAGGGCCAGAGUGCCGGGCGCAGUUACCCCGCGCGUUGUCCGCGCCCCCUCCUAGGGCCAGCGCGCAGCGAGCAAGCAAUCAUCUCCCACAAUGGGCUGGACUCCAGAGACGUGGGCAGAAUUUCUCCAUACCUGGCACUCCCCGGCCCUGUGCUUCCUGUCGUUGUGAGCCUCCUAGCUACUCCUUUUGGUGUGUCUGACUUUCCUUUUGAGAAAUCCUUGCCACUGCAGAGUCAAGCUCGUCCCUGGACAGUUUCAAGCAGCAAGAAGAUGGUUUUUCUGAGAAUUCUCUUUCCUGGCAUCACCGCACUCCAGCAGGUUUGGGCCUGAACUGAUUAAUCAGACUGACCUGAUUAACACAACUGUUGUUUCCGCUCCCACUCAUAAUCCUUGGGCUCACAGACAGAGUGUGACUAAUGUGGCCACCCAAAGGCAGGAAACUCUGAGGCUGGUGGGGAGGGAGUGCAAGUCCAGAUGAAGUGUGAGCACACACAUCUGGCACGCUGGGGAAACCCUGCUGCAUGCCUGGCUGGGCUGCAGACUUCUGGAAGAGGCCUUCAGGCGAGGCUUGCUCAAGCUCAGGCAGUUGGGAGAGGGGGUAGCAUCUGAGUGUCUGGGUUCAAAUCCCAAACCUGCUGCUUUCUGAUUGGGAGCGCUCCGCCAAGUUUUUCAGCCUCCCUGCAGCCUGUGUUUCCUCCUUUAAAAAUGGGGUAAUAAUGGAAGAUCGGUGUAAGCAUGAAAUAUAAAAGUGCUCUCAAGAAAUCUAUUGACAUAGAAACCAGUCGCCCAGCCUAGCAGGUGCAAAGAGAGCAGGUUAUGCUGGGAAGGCACAAAAGGGGGGCUUGGCCGACUGACGUAGGGUGGGUCAGGCUGCAACUGCUCAACCAGCCUUGACCAGUCUCUGCCUUCGUUCUCCUGCUUAUGGAGAAUGGAUCGAAUCGUGGCUCUUCAUACUGGCUGCGUGACCUCGGAAAGUUACAUGACUGCUCUCUGCCCCAGUUCCCUUAUCUGUAAAAUGGGGAUAAUAACAGUACCUCACAGGGUUGUUGCAGUCAAUGAAUUAAUAAGUAUAAAACUUAGAAAUAUGCCUGCCCCACUGGAUGCUCAAUAGGUGUUAGGUCACCCCUCUCCAUCCAGUGCCUGUGGAAGGCUUGUGUGUUCCCCUCUGGCUCAGGUACGCAGGCUUCUUCCUUACGGGGAGCGAGCGAGGGAAAUGUGGUUUAGUUUCUUUGGUUUGUUUGUUUGUUUCCUAUGGGCCUCAUAUGAUUGGGGUGUGAGUGUGGGGGCAGGGCAGAGGAAAUCUGACUGGUAGGUGGCAUCCAGGAGCUCUUCCAAACUCACCUGCCUGGAGCCCCUAACGAGAACCAUUGGAAGCUCCCCACUGCUCCCUGGGAUAGGCUUAGGUGUCUCUAAUGGGGUCGACAAACGGCUGACAUGGGAGGGGAUUGGCAGAGAUUUUGUGACCCAGAGGGAGCCUCGCCCAGAAAAUCUCAGUGAAAAUUCUCCCUCUGUGUUGGGCUUCAGACCCCGCCUGGCCUCUCCCAGGCUGUGGGCUGGGAUCCUGGAGGUGAGGCCCCAAGGUUAGGAGGUGCACACGGUGGAGCCAGAGUGCCUGGGUUCAAAUCCCAGCUCUGCCACGUGCCAAGUUAUUUAAUCUCUCAGCGCCUGCCCUGUACAGUGAGGGUAAUUACAGUGGCACCCACCUCAGAGUGCUGGAGAGUGUGCUCAGAAUGGUCCCUGGCCCAGAGUAAAUGUUCAGUAAGCAUCAGUUAUUACUAGUAUACCACCGGCCACAGCGCCCUCUGACUACCAGGGACAGCUAUUACGGCAGCCUGAAUAAUGCCCCUCCUCCAAGAUGUCAUGUCCCAAUCCCUGGGACCUGUGAAUAUGUUGCCUUUCAUGGCAAAAGGAACCUUGCAGGGGCGCCUGGGCGGCUCAGCUCAGGUCAAGGUCUCAUGGGUGGUGGGAUCGAGCCCUGCGUCUGGCUCCACGCUCGGCAGGGUGUGGAUCUGCUUGAGAUGCUCUCCUUCUGCCCCUCCCCCCACUCUCACGAGUUCUCUCUCUCAAAUAAAUUAAUUUUUAAAAAGAGAGAGAUGAGGCACCUGAGUGGAUC